CCUCCUGUAAGCACAGCUCUAGGGCGUUGCUGUAAGUCUCAAGACGUGUGCUGGUUCUGCUUCUUUUCAAGAGCAAGUAUAGGUUAAUACACUUCAGCAACAUAUAUCAAUGCUCCAUUUUACAGCUGUCUGCUUGAUAUGGCACAUACAAUUCUAGACAGCCUCAGGAACCCAACAGAUGGAAACAGUAAUUCAGAUCUUAUGAGGUGAAGCGUAAGAAUCCACAAGAAGAGGGACUGGAAAGGCACUUUACUCAAAGAAGCACUGAAUCUGGCUAUUUUCUAUACUGUAGGACCCUCCAGAAGCAGAGCUCCUGGGGUGAAUCUGCUGGUGGCAUUUGGAGUGCUUUAUACCUGGAGCCUGACAAAAAAAGGUUCAAUCUAAAAUUUUUUAUGGCCUAUAAUUAAAGUCACGGCAUUGGACUCUAUAGGAAUAAAG
rnacentral:lncRNA from 1 species